rnacentral:lncRNA from 1 species
GGAGGGAUGACACACCUAGACCGAAGUCGAGAUAGUAAGAGUAAUACUAACAAUUUAAAACCUAUUAACUAACAAUCCCAAUUAAGAAAGGAUGCCAGUGAGAGUUUAAGUGUAUAAAUACACUUUCAAAGCAAUAAGAGUGUCUAAUUGCAGUCAAGUAGGAUGAUUACUAAAAUACAACACCCGAAGAUGAAUCCUACUUUUUCGGAUUCUGUAAGAACACCGUUGAAGUCCUCGUGACCACCAAACUCAGCUCACUAAGACCUGGAGGGGCGAAAAACAAAGUUGAGUGGGUCAGUAAAACACAAUUCUACGACAAGAUUGGAUGUAAUAUAAUUAUGCUCAAUUCUACUCUCUCAUAAUAGCUGGGCGAUAAAUCGCUAGUGACCUACGAGUCGGAACCAUAAAUAAGGUAUGUAUGACAAGGCUGUGCACUUAAAUUGGAUCCAAUAUGAGCAUAUAGUGCGGGGAUGACAUAAUAAACAGGCCUGUAUCAUAUCUUUGGCUAAAUCAAUCACCCUAGGUGCAGUUUUAUGAGCUCAACAUUAUUCAAUCACAUAUCGCAUCAUCGAUGAUUUACAUAACCAAACACAACUUACCUGAACUUACAUGUGCCUCCACAGCACCACAUUUAUAUAUAUAAGUUAUCACACAUCAAUUCAUGCACGAAACAUAAUUGUAUAUGCAUGGCAUUUAAAUUGCAUUUCCUU